UGUGCUGGGCUGCGUUGGCUGUAAGCAGGAAUGCCUGAGUAGACAGAUCUCCAGCCUCGCUCAGGUCUCCAGCUUGUGAAGAGAGCCUGGGAGAGGAGGAUCAGUUGCUCUCUUCGUGCGCACACAGCCUGGAUUUUCAGAACUAGUUAAUGCAAUCAUGUACGUUGUUUUCUCAAAGACAAAACGUACAGAAAAGAAAGUUUUCUUGGCUUUCUGUGAGACGUAACUUGUCACAGCCUCUGGUCUAUGGAAAGACUGAAAACUGUACGAUCUGAAUGCCUGAAGUAGGACUGUGAAGGCAUUCUAAGGUUGUUAGCAGAUAUAAAGAUGCAAGUCUCUUCAUCAUAACGAAACAUUCAAAUAAGUGCAGGUUGUCAGCAUAAAGGAAAGAACUCCUUGGGUAGAUUAUUGAAUUAUCUAGUACUCAAGAAUUAAGUACGUGUUCAGGUCAGGUUGAAUCUGUGCAUUGUGUUGCUGCCAUAUUCUUUUGAUGAUUACAGUGGGGUUGUGCUUUUGAUUAGGAAUGGGAAGCUCAUGCUUGAGGGUUUGAAGAGGGAGGGUGGUUGUGUAUAUUUUAUAAGUAUAAAUUACAAAAUAUGUAAAGUAACUACUUUUUAACUAAAAUGUAAAUGUUAAGACAGACAAAUCUGUGUUAUAUAUUUUUCAAUACAUGUACCAACCUUUUCUUAGUUGGACAUAGGUUACUUUGUGUGCUUUAUGGAUCUUGAGUAACUUUUAAUAAUAAAGCAGUUGUCAUUUGCUCUUCCAUACCUCAUACUUGAAUACCAAUUGAAUAAGUA
rnacentral:lncRNA from 1 species